rnacentral:lncRNA from 1 species
CUAGAAACAGCAGCCACAACAUGGUGAACAACAGUUUGUCGUAGACAAAACUGCACAAGGUUGUGGCUGAGAACCAGAACCAUUCUUUACUUAAAGCAAUGGAUUUUGGAAACAAUGGUCAGGGACUAGCAGUUUUAAGGCUAAAGGAGGAGCAGAUAAGAGUGUAAUCCCCCACCUCUUAAAGCAGCCAGGGUCUGGCCAUUCAUUGGUAUGAAAAUGCACAAGGGUGGAAUAAAUAACGCAGGUGAAAUUGAAGGAUAAAUCUUGGUGAAGCAUAAUAUAAUUACCCAGUUUUGAACGUUGGAAUUUAUAAGUA